ACCCUGUCCUUACUCCUCUGAGAACCACCUCAUGCUGCUGCUGGUUCCCCUGCAGGCCUCCACUGCUGGUACUGACAAGAUUCAUGGCAGCAGCAGGAUCUGGGCUUAGGUGGUGGGACAGGGCUCUUCCUCACAGCCACUGCUGUGCUCUGCUCCUCAUAAAUAGGAGGCAGUGUCCUAACUGGUGUGAUCCAGCCUCUACAGUCACACAGGUGCAGAUCAAAUGAAGCCCAGAGCAGCAAAGGCCUUUGCUUUGUCUAAUUGGCUGAGAACAAGCAAACAAGAGAGAGACUAUGCAAGCUGGUAGCAUCACAAUAAUGUCAAGUUUUCUGUUUUCUGGAGCAAUUCUAGUGCUUCUGUAACAUCUGGGGAUGGCACGGCCUGCAUUACUGAUGAAGCUGGAUAUUUUUUCUUCUACCUUUUUCUUCAUCGAAGAACAAUUAUUGCACUUGCAUAUUUCACUGCUUCUGCCCCCUACCACACAUUUUCCUCCUGACUACUUCUGUCCUGAUGACCUCUUUGAAGACGGUUAAAAUAAUAUUCCAGGCUGACAGAAGAACCAGAAAGGGAGAU